UAGUGUCUUUAAGGCUCACUGCUUAGCUGU
rnacentral:piRNA from 1 species